rnacentral:rRNA from 1 species
UUACCGAGUGAGGCCCUCUGGGUUCCACCUCCCACCCGUGUUUAUUUUACUUGUUGCUUCGGCGGGCCCGCCUUAACUGGCCGCCGGGGGGCUUACGCCCCCGGGCCCGCGCCCGCCGAAGACACCCUCGAACUCUGUCUGAAGAUUGUAGUCUGAGUGAAAAUAUAAAUUAUUUAAAACUUUCAACAACGGAUCUCUUGGUUCCGGCAUCGAUGAAGAACGCAGCGAAAUGCGAUACGUAAUGUGAAUUGCAAAUUCAGUGAAUCAUCGAGUCUUUGAACGCACAUUGCGCCCCCUGGUAUUCCGGGGGGCAUGCCUGUCCGAGCGUCAUUGCUGCCCUCAAGCACGGCUUGUGUGUUGGGCCCCGUCCUCCGAUCCCGGGGGACGGGCCCGAAAGGCAGCGGCGGCACCGCGUCCGGUCCUCGAGCGUAUGGGGCUUUGUCACCCGCUCUGUAGGCCCGGCCGGCGCUUGCCGAUCAACCCAAAUUUUUAUCCAGGUUGACCUCGGAUCAGGUAGGGAUACCCGCUGAACUUAAGCAUAUCAAUAAGCGGAGGAA